GAUGAACGCUAGCGAUAGGCUUAACACAUGCAAGUCGAGGGGCAGCAUGGUCUUAGCUUGCUAAGACUGAUGGCGACCGGCGCACGGGUGCGUAACGCGUAUGCAACUUGCCUCACAGAGGGGGAUAACCCGUCGAAAGACGGACUAAUACCGCGUACACUCCAUCUUGGGCAUCCAAGGUAGAGGAAAUGAAAUUCGCUGUGAGAUAGGCAUGCGUCCCAUUAGCUAGUUGGUGAGGUAACGGCUCACCAAGGCGACGAUGGGGAGGGGAACUGAGAGGGCGAACCCCCACACUGGUACUGCGACACGGACCAGUCUCCUACGGGAGGCAGCAGUGAGGAAUAUUGGUCACUGGGCGAGAGCCUGAACCAGCCAAGUCGCGUGAAGGAUGACUGUCUUAUGGAUUGUAAACUUCUUUUAUGCGGGAAUAACAAGAGUCACGUGUGACUCCCUGCAUGUACCGUAUGAAUAAGCAUCGGCUAACUCCGUG
rnacentral:rRNA from 1 species